AUGAGGUCUCCCACACGGUCAACGUGGUAAGGCCCCCGACGAGACCAUCGGGUUGAUAGGCCGGAAGUGGAAGCCCGGUAACGGGUGAUGAGCUGACCGGUACUAAUAGGCCGAGGGCUUGACCAC
rnacentral:rRNA from 1 species